UACGGGGGGGUAAGCGUUGUUCGGAAUUACUGGGCGUAAAGGGCUCGUAGGCGGCCAACUAAGUCAUACGUGAAAUCCCUCAGCUUAACUGGGGAACUGCGUGUGAUACUGGAUGGCUUGGAUUUGGGAGAGGGAUGCGGAAUUCCAGGUGUAGCGGUGAAAUGCGUAGAUAUCAGGAGGAACGCCUGCGGUGUAGACGGCUUCUGGACCAUAACUGACGUGAGGCACGAAAAGCGUGGGGUAGCAAACAGG
rnacentral:rRNA from 1 species